rnacentral:rRNA from 1 species
GGUUGAUCCUGCCAGUAGUCAUAUGCUUGUCUAAAAGAUUAAGCCAUGCAAGUCUAAGUAUAAGCGAUUAUACUGUGAAACUGCGGAAAGCUCAUUAUAUCAGUUAUAGUUUAUUUGAUGGUACCCUGCUACAUGGAUAACUGUAGUAAUUCUAGAGCUAAUACAUGCCCGUAAUUCUGACCCUCGUGGGAAGGAACGGACUUAUUAGAUACCGAUUGCCAACCCAGCCCUCGGGCUGGUGUUUGGUGAAUCAUAAUAAUUUCUAGAUCGCACGCCUUAGCGGGCAGCGAUGGGUCAUUCAAAUUUCUGCCCUAUCAGCUAGAUGGUAGUGUCGUGGACUACCAUGGCUAAUACGGGUGACGGGGGAUUAGGGUCUGAUUCCGGAGAGGGAGCCUGAGAAACGGCUACCACUUCCAAGGUAGGCAGCAGGCGCGUAAAUUACCCAAUCCCAAUACGGGGAGGUAGUGACAAGAAAUAACAAUACUGGGCCUCUAACGAGGUCUGGUAAUUGGAAUGAGUACAACUUAAAAUCCUUAACCAGGAUCAAUUGGAGGGCAAGUCUGGUGCCAGCAGCCGCGGUAAUACCAGCUCCAAUAGCGUAUGCUAAAGUUGUUGCAGUUAAAAGGCUCGUAGUCGAACAUAUGAUUUGGCUGCACCCGAACCACUUCCUAGUGUUGUGAGCUUCGGUGUGCGCCGGUCAUUUUUCUGAAAAGCACUUCUGCCCUUGAUUGGGUAGUUGUGUGAUUCAGAUCAUUUACUGUGAGUAAAUCAGAGUGUUCAAAGCAGGCUUUACGCUUGUAUUGUUCAGCAUGGAAUAAUAAGAUAAGACUUCGGUUUUAUUUUGUUGGCUAUGAAACCAAAGUAAUGAUUAAAAGGGAUAGUUGGGGGUGCUAGUAUUUAAUGGUCAGCGGUGAAAUGCGAGGACCCAUUAAAGACUAACUUAUGCGAAAGCAUUCACCAAGGAUAUCUUCUUUGAUCAAGAACGAAAGUUGGGGGAUCGAAGACGACCAGAUACCGUCGUAGUCUCAACCAUAAACUAUGCCAACUAGGGAUUGGCGGUUGAUGAUUAUUGUCCCCGCCAGCACCUUAUGAGAAAUCAAAGUCUCUGGGUUCUGGGGGGAGUAUGGUCGCAAGGCUGAAACUUAAAGGAAUUGACGGAAGGGCACCACCAGGAGUGGAGCCUGCGGCUUAAUUUGACCCAACACGGGAAAACUUACCAGGUCCAGACAUAGUAAGGAUUGACAGAAUAUAGAUCUUUCAUGAUUCUAUGGAUAGUGGUGCAUGGCCGUUCUUAGUUGGUGGAGUGAUUUGUCUGGUUAAUUCCGUUAACGAACGAGACCUCAGCCUGCUAAUUAGUUUCGCCAAUGCUCGCAUUGGUGAAACUUCUUAGA